rnacentral:lncRNA from 1 species
GUGUGUGUGUGUGUGUGCGUGUGUGUGUGUGUGUGUGUGUGUGUGUGUGAACCUAUGGUAUGAGUUGUUUCUGCCAGUUGAAUCUCUUGGAACCCGCUCCAAUUCUGCAGCUGUAUCCUAGCAGUUUCUUCAGAAAUGGUUUUGUUCCGCGGGCUCCUGUUGAUGGAACCGUUUUUCCAUACAUCGCUGAGCCACAGAUUGUAACACCAGUCCUUUAG